rnacentral:rRNA from 1 species
CCUACGGGAGGCAGCAGUGGGGAAUUUUGGACAAUGGACGCAAGUCUGAUCCAGCCAUUCCGCGUGCAGGACGAAGGCCUUCGGGUUGUAAACUGCUUUUGUACAGAACGAAAAAGUUUCUAUUAAUACUAGGGGCUCAUGACGGUACUGUAAGAAUAAGCACCGGCUAACUACGUGCCAGCAGCCGCGGUAAUACGUAGGGUGCAAGCGUUAAUCGGAAUUACUGGGCGUAAAGCGUGCGCAGGCGGUUAUAUAAGACAGAUGUGAAAUCCCCGGGCUCAACCUGGGAACUGCAUUUGUGACUGUAUAGCUGGAGUGCGGCAGAGGGGGAUGGAAUUCCGCGUGUAGCAGUGAAAUGCGUAGAUAUGCGGAGGAACACCGAUGGCGAAGGCAAUCCCCUGGGCCUGCACUGACGCUCAUGCACGAAAGCGUGGGGAGCAAACAGGAUUAGAUACCCUGGUAGUCCACGCCCUAAACGAUGUCAACUGGUUGUUGGGUCUUCACUGACUCAGUACGAAGCUAACGCGUGAAGUUGACCGCCUGGGGAGACGGCCGCGAGUAGAACGUACGAAGAGUAGUAGACGNGAGAGACGACGACGACGGACGACGACGGAGGGAGGAGG